UAAGUCUCUGAUCCCGUCACUUCCUGCUCGAUUCGCUUGGCUCCUGUGCUGAUUUCUCUUUGGUUUCCCAGGUUUGUUGUGGUUGCAGAAUGGCGCAGAGGAAUUGGGAAGCGGACUAUGGACAUGAUGCGUGACGUGCACAUCCAUGACUAUUUGCUCAAGUGAAACAUCCAAACGGCCAACCUGUUCAUGGUGGAGGGGGCCAUGCCUGCUAAGUCCUCCAAUUCAUACUCAGGCUGGCUGCUGGGGCGAGCUGACCAUGAUGCUCUGCGAAGGCGAGUUAUCCAUGGAAUUCACACAACAUUCCAGCGUUCUCGUUGGCAGGUCUCUGCUCUUCUCCAUGUCCACGGGGACAGUGCGUCCAUCGUGGAGCAUGACCUGGCAAGUCGCGACCUGACUCUGCUCGGCCAACUAGACAAGCACUAUAAGCACAGAUGCUGUCAAGGAUGGGGAUUUUUGUCAACGCCUUUGAAUGCGUUAGCCACAACCUCAAGAUCAGGGCUCCUUGUUAUGGAGAAGGUGCUCUCGAGGGUGUAGCACACUCAACAAACAUGAAUGUGCCUUGCUAUCCAAAGAUUCUCCUGAUGAUGUUCCUAAGAGGGCACCAAAUGAAGAAUCGGCGAAGGGUACAACCCGCAAAGAUGAUGCUGGGAACCUUUGACCUCUGGUAGCAAUGUUGAUGGUGCUUCACCUUCAGAGAAGAAAGUAGAAACCACGAAGUUGGUAACCAAUGCUAUCAAGGAAGGGGACUUCGUCAACACCUUUCGGACCAGUAAAUCAGGCACAUAAGCAGCUGUCCGACGAGGGAACCGAUCCUAUCAAGGAAGGGGAUUUUGUCAACACCUUUGAAUGCGUCAGCCAUGACCUCAAGAUCAGGCUGGUGAGUUUUUCUAUUCAGCUCAAAGAAGCGCUGUAGCACAAGAGAGGCAAUUAGUAGCAAAUCAGUCUGGUCAGAAUUCACCGGAGAGUCCUUCCUUAGAGCAGGAUUCUCAAUCGGCAGCUGAAAGAUUAGUGAGACUGACUGAUGCUGAACAUGUACCAUCUGUUCCAUGUGAGAGAAAUAGCAUGUCGAUAUCAUCUUGAAAUAAUCACAGCUGG